rnacentral:rRNA from 1 species
AUUGAACGCUGGCGGCAUGCUUUACACAUGCAAGUCGAACGGUAACAGGGUGCUUGCACCGCUGACGAGUGGCGAACGGGUGAGUAAUGCGUCGGAACGUGCCGAGUAGUGGGGGAUAACGCAGCGAAAGUUGUGCUAAUACCGCAUACGUACUGAGGUAGAAAGUGGGGGACCUUCGGGCCUCACGCUAUUCGAGCGGCCGACGUCUGAUUAGCUAGUAGGUGAGGUAAAGGCUCACCUAGGCGACGAUCAGUAGCGGGUCUGAGAGGAUGGUCGGCCACACUGGGACUGAGACACGGCCCAGAGUCCUACGGGAGGCAGCAGUGGGGAAUUUUGGACAAUGGGCGAAAGCCUGAUCCAGCCAUGCCGCGCGUCUGAGGAAGGCCUUCGGGUUGUAAAGGACUUUUGUCGGGGAGGAAAUCCCCAGCGUUAAUACCGCUGGGGGAUGACAGUACCUGAAGAAUAAGCACCGGCUAACUACGUGCCAGCCGCCGCCGUAACAC